rnacentral:tRNA from 1 species
GUUAGAUUGGCAGAAUACAUGCAAUUGAUUUAGGAUCAAUAGAUAUAGGUGGAAUUCCUUUAUUUAACA